rnacentral:rRNA from 1 species
AUUGAACGCUGGCGGCAGGCUUAACACAUGCAAGUCGAGCGAGCGGCGGACGGGUGAGUAAUGUCUGGGAAACUGCCUGAUGGAGGGGGAUAACUACUGGAAACGGUAGCUAAUACCGCAUACCAUCGGAUGUGCCCCGAUGGGAUUAGCUAGUAGGGGGGGUAAUGGGUCACCUGGGCGACGAUCCCUAGCUGGUCUGAGAGGAUGACCAGCCAAACUGGAACUGAGAAACGGGCCAGACGCCGACGGGAGGAAGCAGUGGGGAAGAUGGCACAAUGGGCGCAAGCCUGAUGCAGCGAUGCCGCGUGUGGGAAGAGGGCCUGCGGGUUGUAAAACACUUUCAGCGAGGAGGCGGUACUCGCAGAAGAAGCACCGGCUAACUCCGUGCCAGCAGCCGCGGUAAUUC